AGCAGCCGCGGUAAUUCCAGCUCCAAUAGCGUAUAUUAAAGUUGUUGCAGUUAAAAAGCUCGUAGUUGAAUUUCGAGAUCAAAUUGUUGGUCGUGCCUUGGUACGCACUGGCAUUAUUGGUUUCUCCCUUCUGACGAACCAUGAUGUCAUUAAUUUGGUGUCUUGGGGAAUCAGGACUGUUACUUUGAAAAAUUAGAGUGUUUAAAGCAGGCUCACGCUUGAAUACAUUAGCAUGGAAUAAUGAAAUAGGACGUUUGAUUCUAUUUUGUUGGUUUCUAGGAUCGACGUAAUGAUUAAUAGGGAUAGUUGGGGGCAUUAGUAUUCAAUUGUCAGAGGUGAAAUUCUUGGAUUUAUUGAAGACUAACUACUGCGAAAGCAUUUGCCAAGGAUGUUUUCAUUAAUCAAGAACGAAAGUUAGGGGAUCGAAGACGAUCAGAUACCGUCGUAGUCUUAACCAUAAACUAUGCCGACUAGGG
rnacentral:misc_RNA from 1 species